rnacentral:misc_RNA from 1 species
UUUCCGUAGGUGAACCUGCGGAAGGAUCAUUAAAGAAUCGCCCCGUUUUUUAUAAAUGGGUUCUAUUCCCAAACCGUGUAUACAUACCUUUGUUGCUUUGGCAGGCCGCUUCCGGGCGUCGGCUCCGGCUGAUAGUGCCUGCCAGAGGACCCAAACUCUGUGUUUAGUGAUGUCUGAGUACUAUAUAAUAGUUAAAACUUUCAACAACGGAUCUCUUGGUUCUG